AUUCCAUGAUGGGAGCACACACUUAGCAUUUUCUUAAAUUUCUCCCAUGCUUCGCAGAAUGAUUCCCCGUCAUUUUGAGUUAAAUUGGUUAUUUAGUUUCCAAGAUG